GGUCUUAACAAAUCCUUUAAACACACAGGUUUGGUCCCGGCCUUAAAAUCAACUACCUCUUAACUUACACAUGCAAGUCUCCGCACGCCCGUGAGGACGCCCCUUACCCCACUUAGGAUUAAGGAGCAGAUAUCAGGCACACACUGCCCAAGACAUCUAGCUUUGCCACACCCACAAGGGUACUCAGCAGUGAUCAAUAUUAAAAAUAAGCGCCAGUUUGAUUUAGUCACAGAGGCCUAGAGCCGGCUAAUCUGGUGCCAGCCGCCGCGGUUACACCAGAGACUCAAUUUGAUUUUGGCACGGCGUAAAGCGUGAUUAAAGAACAUAACCUCUGAGGUCAAACUUAAACUAAGCCGUCAAACGCUUGUUCAUAAGAAGCCCACACCCGAAAGCUACCUCAACAACACUUGAAUUCACCACAACUAGAACUCAAACUGGGAUUAGAUACCCCACUAUCUCUAGUCGUAAACUUUAAUUUACCCCCACCCC
rnacentral:rRNA from 1 species